AUAUAUAAUGUUUUAUGGGAGAGUUGAAUGUCAUCUCCAUGUUGCUCAUUGUGAUUUGUGGAACAUACCGGGAGGCGAUUCUGUUUACCCAUGUCGUUUUAACAACACGUGUACCACUUGAAGAUUGAAUGAAAAUUGAUACGAGAUACUUAGACAAUUAUUUUAAUAAAAUUGACGAUAUUCAAUCCGAUGAAAUACGAGCCUUGAGAAAGAAUCACAACCGAUUCGAAACUUUGGCGAUGUAUUAAAAGGAUAAUGAAUAAAAAUUUGUCCAAAUUCCUGC